rnacentral:other from 1 species
GACAUCCUGAUGUGUACGUUAGCUUUUACUAUCUGUUUUGACCGAACACUAUAUGUGAAGGGAGCCCGUGUCUGCAAGCUGCGUACAUGCCUCUGGUAAGAGGACUUACAAGGCAAGCAGCAGGGUACCCACCUGCGGAGAGCGGGUUCAAAACACAUAGCUUCUAAGACGGCACGAUCGGGAGAAGC